rnacentral:rRNA from 1 species
GAUGAACGCUGGCGGCGUGCCUAAUACAUGCAAGUCGAGCGAACGGACGAGAAUCCUUCUUCUCUGAUGUUAGCGGCGGACGGGUGAGUAACACGUGGAUAACCUACCUAUAUGACUGGGAUAACUCCGUGAGACACGAGCUAAUACCGCAUGAUAUUUUGAACCGCAUGGUUCAAGAUUGAAAGACGGUCUUCCUGCUGCUUAUAGAUGAUUCGGCUCUGCAUUAGUUAGUUGGUAAGGUAACGGCUUACCAAGGCGACGAUGCGUAGCCGACCUGAGAGGGUGAUCGGCCACACUGGAACUGAGACACGGUCCAGACUCCUACGGAAGGCAGCAGUAGGGAAUCUUCCGCAAUGGGCGAAAGCCUGACGGAGCAACGCCGCGUGAGUGAUGAAGGUCUUCGGGUCGUAAAGCUCUGUUAUUAGGGAAGAACAGAUGUGUGAGUAACUGUGCUCGUCAUGACGGUACCUAAUCAGAAAGCCCCGGCUAACUACGUG